rnacentral:ncRNA from 2 species
AGACACCUUCGGGGCAGAGUGAGGGGGGCCACAGCGCCCCCCAAUUCUCGACCGGCGGUAUGGCCCUCACGGGCCGAGCCCGCGAGCGCGUGGCUGAGGAACCAGGUUUCUGCGAGAAAUCGGGUGCGGUAGCCAGGCGCAGAUCCGGUGUGAAGCCGGAGCCGACGGUAUAGUCCGGAUGGAAGAAGGUGCGC